AGCAGCCGCGGUAAUUCCAGCUCCAAUAGCGUAUAUUAAAGUUGUUGCAGUUAAAAAGCUCGUAGUUGAAUUUCGAGAUCAAAUUGUUGGUCGUGCCUCGGUACGUACUGGCAUUAUUGAUUUCUCCCUUCUGAAGAACCUUGAUGUCAUUAAUUUGGUGUCUUGGGGAAUCAGGACCGUUACUUUGAAAAAAUUAGAGUGUUUAAAGCAGGCUCACGCUUGAAUACAUUAGCAUGGAAUAAUGAAAUAGGACGUUUGAUUCUAUUUUGUUGGUUUCUAGGAUCGACGUAAUGAUUAAUAGGGAUAGUUGGGGGCAUUAGUAUUCAAUUGUCAGAGGUGAAAUUCUUGGAUUUAUUGAAGACUAACUACUGCGAAAGCAUUUGCCAAGGAUGUUUUCAUUAAUCAAGAACGAAAGUUAGGGGAUCGAAGACGAUCAGAUACCGUCGUAGUCUUAACCAUAAACUAUGCCGACUAGGGAUCGGAUGAUGUUAAUUUUUAAUGACUCAUUCGGCGCCUUAAC
rnacentral:rRNA from 1 species